rnacentral:rRNA from 1 species
UGGGGAAUAUUGGGGCAAUGGGGCGCAAGCCUGACCCAGCAACGCCGCGUGAAGGAAGAAGGCUUUCGGGUUGUAAACUUCUUUUGACUGGGACGAAACAAAUGACGGUACCUGACUAAGAAGCUCCGGCUAAAUACGUGCCAGCAGCCGCGGUAAUACGUAUGGAGCAAGCGUUAUCCGGAUUUACUGGGUGUAAAGGGAGCGUAGACGGCAUGGCAAGUCUGAUGUGAAAAACCCUGGGCUCAACCCAGGAAUGGCAUUGGAAACUGUUAAGCUAGAGUGCAGGAGAGGUAAGUGGAAUUCCUAGUGUAGCGGUGAAAUGCGUAGAUAUUAGGAGGAACACCAGUGGCGAAGGCGGCUUACUGGACUGUAACUGACGUUGAGGCUCGAAAGCGUGGGGAGCAAACAGGAUUAGAUACCCUGGUAGU